rnacentral:misc_RNA from 1 species
UACGCACAUUGCGCCCCCUGGUAUUCCGGGGGGCAUGCCUGUCCGAGCGUCAUUUCUGCCCUCAAGCACGGCUUGUGUGUUGGGGCCCGUCCUCCGAUCCCGGGGCACAGGCCCGAAAGGCAGCGCCGGCACCGCGUCCGGUCCUCGGGCGUAUGGGGCUUUGUCACCCGCUCUGUAGGCCCUGCCAACGCUUGCCGAUCAACCCAAAUUUUUAUCCAGGUUGACCUAGGAUCAGGUAGGGAUACCCGCUGAACUUAA